AUUGAACGCUGGCGGCAGGCCUAACACAUGCAAGUCGAGCGGAUGAAGGGAGCUUGCUCCUGGAUUCAGCGGCGGACGGGUGAGUAAUGCCUAGGAAUCUGCCUGGUAGUGGGGGAUAACGUCCGGAAACGGGCGCUAGUACCGCAUACGUCCUGAGGGAGAAAGUGGGGGAUCUUCGGACCUCACGCUAUCAGAUGAGCCUAGGUCAGAUUAGCUAGUUGGUGGGGUAAAGGCCUACCAGGGCGACGAUCCGUAACUGGUCUGAGAGGAUGAUCAGUCACACUGGAACUGAGGCACGGUCCAGACUCCUACGGGAGGCAGCAGUGGGGAAUAUUGGACAAUGGGCGAAAGCCUGAUCCAGCCAUGCCGCGUGUGUGAAGAAGGUCUUCGGAUUGUAAAGCACUUUAAGUUGGGAGGAAGGGCAGUAAGUUAAUACCUUGCUGUUUUGACGUUACCAACAGAAUAAGCACCGGCUAACUUCGUG
rnacentral:rRNA from 1 species